AACCCAUGAUUUGGGAAUUUUCUGAGUAUCAUUUUAAAUCGUUCUCAUGUCUCACAGAGUGAUUCAUCUGCUCCUUGUCUGAACACAGAAAUUUCAGACUUUGCUU
rnacentral:snoRNA from 1 species